CUUUCUCCAGUUGUUCUGUCCUUACUGGGGAGGAGCCCAGGGACAUAUUUCACAGCUAAGUCAACUGCUUUUCUUCAAAUUCAGAUUUAAUCCUUGAGUGAAAUGAGUCACUGGCUCAUCCAGUUAAGAUCAUCACCCACUUUCCUAACAAAACUUCUCUUCAAAGAAGGACUCGCUCAUCCAUCAGGUGGACCUCCACAGGAACAAAUCAUAUCCAUGUCAGGCGGCACCAAACCUAAAUCUGCUUCUGCCUCAGCAGACAGGACAUGGUAACUGUGGCUUCUGCAGCAUUUGGGAUGGAAAAACAUGGGAUGCAAACCAAUUCUAGCAAUGCCUAGAGAUGCAGGGGAUAGAAAUUUCUUCUGUAAGAAUGUACUAGAUAAAAUGUAUAUUUGUUGAAACAAUUAGCUACUCCUUGACCAACAAGGCGAGAGCUCCACUAUAUGGCAUCACCCAUGUAGAUCGUGAACAACAAAGCAUAAUUUGAUCUGACCACCUCAAAACAUUGUUUUUGUUUCCUAUUAUAUUAGGUUGUCCCCACAAAAUUCAUGUCCACCUGAAACUCAGAAUUUGGAAAUAGGGUCUUUGCAGAUGUUGUUGCUUAGGUUAGGAUGAGGUCAUACUCGGUUAGGAUGGGCCCUAAAUAUGGUGUGCUUAUAGGAAAACCAGGUGAAGACACAGAAGAGAAGGCCAUGUGAAGAGGGAGGCAGAGAUUGGAGGCAUACUGUCACAAGCCAAGGUGCGCCUGGGGCCAUCAGGAGCCAGGAGAGGCAAGGAAGAAUUUUCCCCUAGAGCCUUGGGAGGGAGUACAGUGCUGACAGUACCCUAAUUUAGCAUGUCUAGCCUCUAGAACUGUGAGAGAAUAUAUUUCUGUUGCUUUAAGCCACAUAAGUUUAUGGUGAUUUGUUAUGGGAGACCUAGGAAGCUAGUGUACCUGGUAGCUGGUAGACUUUGGGUGAGACUGGGACAGGUACUGCUAAUGGUCAGAGUUUUAAGAGAGGCAAGCAGAGAAACCCCCGUCUCCAUUGCUUCAUGACUUUGUUGCAACACAAACAUUCAUGGUGCUUUUAUUAUACACAAAUUGCUGUGCAGGCCACAGGGGAUGGAGAAAGCAGUUAGACACAGUCCUGGUCUGGUGGAGCUUAUGCUCAGGCAGAGAGAUGGCAGGAUAAAAAGAUGGCUGCUUCACAAGGGAGAAAAAGCAGAGCAGGGACCCAGCCUACGUUUCCCACAGAGACUGCUGUAGUGGGGCGGGUAAGGGGGCAUGAGUUGUUUGAGACCAAGCUGGCAACAAACUGGAGAAAGGCCUGAGUGCAGGGGGUAGGGGAGAGAGGGAGGGAGGAGAUGGACUUAACCCAUUUUCCAUGAGGAUGAAACUGGGAGGAGAGUGAAAGUGCUUCAAGGUGAUUUUUCCAAAGGAUUUCUGGAUGGGGUGCUGUUCAGUGUCUGGUGUUGUGCUUUUGACAAAACCAACAGUGAAACUCUCCAUUAUUACCUAAAGCUUUCAGAGUGAGACCAAUGUUCCUCUGAUGUGGCAUCUUAUAGAUACAUGGUCAUGAGACCUUCUGGCUUUACACAGGUUACUCAUGGACGCAGAUAUUCAUAGUAGAAGGUGGGAUGUGAGCUGGGCAGGAGGCAAGCUGCAAACAAAGCAGCAAUUGAGGCCAGAAAAGGUGAAGGCACAUUCUGUUUGGGAGCUACUCUUUGCUUCCCUAAGAUUCUCCACAACCUAAUGUAGCUACAAUCAAAAGGCAAUUUACUGCCAAGUAAGUGAUAUGGUUUGGCUGUGUCCGCACCCAAAUCUCAUCUUGAAUUGUAGCUCCCAUAAUUCCCACGUGUUGUGGGAGGAAUCUGGUGGGAGAUAAUUGAAUUAUGGGGGCGGUUUCCCUCAUACUGUUCUCGUGGUAGUGAAUAAGUCUUACAACAGCUGAUGGUUUUACAAGGGGAAACCCCUUUUGCUUGGCUCUCAUUUCCUCUUGCCUGCUGCUAUGUAAGAUGUGCCUUUCACCUUCCACCAUGAUUGUGAGGCUUUCUCAGCCACGUGGAACUGUGAA
rnacentral:lncRNA from 10 species